rnacentral:tRNA from 1 species
GAAGGGGUGGCGGAAUGUAGACGCAAAGCGUGCGGUUUGCCGAGAAAUCGGAUUUCACAACGCCCAGUAGGUCUGAAAUUGCCGGUUCAAGUCCGGCCUCCUUCC